GGCACGGCUUCCCGCGGCGGGCGCCCGGCAGGGCCUCGCUCCCCCGCCGCAGCGGCCCAGCGAGCCGGCCGCGCCUCUGCGGGGCGCCCCCUGCCGCCGGCGGCGCCGCGGCUCGGCUCGCCCCGCCCUAGCGGACAUAACGGCAAUCGGGGCGUUCGAAACUUCGCCGCCGCCCUGGCUGCUCCGCGCGCGCGGCGGCCGCGGCCCCUCCCCUCCCCCCCAGCCCCGCGCGGGGCGCUGCCGCAGCCGUUAGGGCCGCGCGUGAGGUGAGAUACAGUGGCAGAGAUGACAUUCUGGCCCUAUUGAAGUCAAUGGGAGGUGCCCCUCCUUCCAUGAGAGAGCAUUUCACUUGGUGGGAGUGGUGAUCCACGUCUUUGCCUCCUUAAAUUAAGCCAAGAAAUACCUCAUACAGCUGACAUCACCAGUUCAACAGUUUAUAGUGCUGAAUAAUUGUAAACAUGUUUGUCCUACUUAUUCCCCUAGAGUUCUUUUCCACUUAAAAUAUUUAGAUAUAUGUACUUGCUGUGAUGAUUGUAUAUUUUAGAAGUACUAUAAGAUUAUACUAAUGCUGUAGUUCAUAGAUUUGACAAUGUUUUCCCCACAAUUAAAAAACAGAAAACUUUGCUUGCAGAUAAAGAGCUCUUCACCAGUUCAAAAUGUUAUAUUUUUCCAAGCAAAAGCAUUUUUUUUUUAAAUGGAAAGUUAUCAUGUGAUAUUAAACACAUGUGUUAAGAGACUGUUUUAUGGUCUUAGAACUGCUAAAUUAACUUUAGAAACAUUUGGUUCUCAAGAGUCUAUCAUCGGUGCCUAAAGUACAGCUAGGUAAAUGAGUUUGCUGUUGCUGGAGAGCUUCCUUUUUCUAUAUAAUGUGAUAGGUUGCAGAAGCCUUUAACCUCUAACGGAUAUUUCCCUUAAGGGAUCAGAACUGAAAAUAGAGAUUUUAAAAUGGUUUCUAGGAAAAGAAAAAUUGACAAGAGAAAAUCACUGAAACUUUUGAAUAAUAGUAAAAUAUAAGGAUUGCUUGCUCUUGUGUAAGGUUAAUAUUUAUCCUUGGGAAUAAAGAAUAAAAGAAAGAGGGAGUGGGGAAAUGGUGUUUCCAGAUCUGCUGGCAAGUGCUGUUAAUAGUUUAAUAGAAUUUAGUGUAAUAUUUGAUAGAGUUUAAAAAAAUUGUUAAGACAUAAUAAGACAGAGUUAACUUCCUACUUUUGUUUUUGUUUGGUACUGGUGGUGUUUGCACAUUAGCAGUCAAAUAAAUAUCCUAGAAGUGUCAUAACUCAUUCAGAUAGUUUCCCACAGAGACAGUUCAUUAAAGAAGUUCAUUAAAUAUUACCUAAAAAAUAAUGUUUGUGCCAGUAUAGUAAUUUGAAUCAUAUAUUUUCCUAGUCCAAUAAUGGGAAACUUCCAUCUAUCUUUCAUUUCUGUAAUAUUUUACAACCGGAUAUAUUUCAGUUGGUAGAGAUUUCACCUAUAUUUAGGUGGCUAAAUUUUAAGUAGUAAAUUAGUGCAAUAGAGAAGAAACUGCCAAGUACUUGUAGCAGACGGAAUUACCUAAAAUCUGGUUUUAAACUGGAAAGGUUCCUGUGGUGACAGGGAACUAAGUGGAGAAGGUAUGCAUUGGUGAUUCCUGCAGGUGAAGUGUAGCUUCGAACGUAGAGGAAGAUUAACCCUCCCCAAGGUCUCUACCCUCUGACUUGAAAGAAAUAUCUUACCCCAGAUCUGGCAAGCCGUGUAACUGUAAGCGUUUGAGCAGCUGCGCAAGGAGAGACCUGAGGGGAUUCUUUGUUCCACCUCAGUUCUGUUCUGUCAGCACCUUUCUGCAGCUGUGGCCAAUCUCUGGUAUUUCUGAGGAAAACCAAAACAAAUAAUUCUGUUAAUCUGACUUUACCAGUUCCAGCACUUUCUACAGAUUUGUGUUUUGUGAUUGAUUAUGAGCCCUUGGUGAAGCUUUGCUAUGAAUGGGAUACUCAUAUUGUGCCUUGUUUAGUGCCUCAUAUUUUGAAGGAUCAUACUACAACUUUCCCUUGUGCAGGGCGCUUAUGGAGUCCCCCUUAUAUAUGUGAACACCUGUUUCUAUGAAAAUAUAUAGCAGUUUUGUAGCUCCAAGAAAUCCGUACUCUGUCAAAUUUGGUUGAAGUUGGCCAGCGGAUUUGGAAGUUUACUGUGUCAUACACGUACACAGACACAUGGUGCCUCUGCGUCUUUGUUUCUUUAGGAAGUGAAGCUAAAAAUGACAUCCAUAUCUUUUCCUAAAAUCAGAAGCCAAAUUAUUACAUCUGUGUGCUUGGGGAAAUCCUUCCUUUAUGACUCCUGUACUUAGUGGCUGAAAGCUUAAACACAAAACUUGAAAAAAUAAUAGCUGCCUUAAUGGAAGCUGCAAAACUAAUGAGCCUGGUCAGUAUCCAUAAAGGAACUAAUUGGGUUGAAAACCAACUCCAAGGACAAAAAGGACAACAGCUAUCCAGCCUAUCCAGUCCGGCCUAUCUGUGCAUUUGUUCCUUGGCUCAAACUUUUAUGAAUUGUUUUGCAAAUUUUGAUCUCAUUUUCCUUACAGAGUCCCACAAAAGUGAUAAUUUUGACAAGUGGACAUUGGAACUGAACAUGGUAAUGGUCUUAGGAGCGCACUGUACCGAGGCAAAAAUAUCCACUCGGUAUUCCCAUUGGACCUUGUGCCACAAGCUUGUGCUCUGGUGCUUAUUCACAUCGACGCUUCUGCUUCCCACUGAGAAACUGUUUUUCAAAGUAGUCUUCCAGCCUUCUGACGUUACCUGCAUUUCUGUUACCACUGGACUGUUCUGAAACAUCCUGUGGGGCUGUGACUGUUUAAGACAGUUCAUAAGAACAGCAUGUUAUCUUCAUUACUUUCUACACUCCUUGCUCUUAGUGCCUUCUGCAAACUGUACUGACCAAGAGUUUAUGACGUGAUGUAGAUCACUGAUAAAUACAUUAAAAAGCAAUAGAUUGAGAACUAGUCCCAGAAUGUUCACUCAGGAAAGAGUCCAAAACAGAUAUUUGCUCAUUAAACUACGUCUUAUGUUUUGCUCUAUGUCAAUAAAGUAGUUUUUAGUCUGCUUAAUGAAUGCCUUAUAACUUCACAAAAGGCGAGUUUCAGAUGUUACAUGGUACUGAGUCAGAUGCCUGGGAGAGGUCCAACUGUACUGUGCCAGUGCAGCUGACUUCUGGUUUCUACUCAGCUGUCUGCUGAGGUCAGGCCAAAUGGUUCAUAGUUUCCUAGGUGUUUUUCUGUGUCUUGAAAUGCAGAAGCACAAUUUGGAAUUUUCCAGUAUUACCCAGGGAAUUGGAGCAGUCCAGGCGAAGGGGUUAUGUUGAAAAGCUUGAGCUGAGACCAAGGGCCGUGGGUGGGAAAUACGGGCCUGGGCCUGGAACACACUGUGGAGGAAGGGGCAGAAAGGGGGCAAGCUUGAGCAGAAAGGGGGGAAGUCUGUGUUCAUUAAAUGGCACUCCAGUUCAAAGCAGGGGAUGGGAGCUAAGGUUCCUAAAUCUCACCCUUGUUUUGCAAUCAGGACAUAGCUGAGUUCGCUGGUUCCUCUGUUUCCUUUCCAGUGUUGGUCCAUGCAGAUGUAACAGCCUACUCUUCCUGUCAGUCACUUUCUUACCUUGCGUGGCAGAUGUGUUUGUGGUGGAUAUAAGGAUCUCAGCUGCAGUGGUGAGCCUUGUGGGUCAUCACUCUGAUACAAUUUCUGUUUUUUUUUCAUUUUUUGUUUUUAAUGUAAAAGACUUAAUGUGUAAAUCACGUAUAAGCAUGCAUAAACGGUGUUUGAAAGAGUAUUACUAAAGCUGUGAAGUGAAGCAGUGGAAAAAUUAAGUAACCUCAGAAAUGAGGCUAACUGUGCAGGAUAUUAGUUGGCCAUUUUUUGGUUUAUUCACUAUACGUGGCCUUUGAUCACGUGUUGAUAUAUGACAAUUUUACUGAGUCUCACUGAGUGAGGAGCCUACUCUAGGGAUUAAGCAAUGACAUACAGUGAAAGAGGCAAUGAUCUGCAGUCUAAUUUCUUCAUUUGCUUUAGAGAUGAUAAAACCAUUAUUUAAUGAUUAAGGCAGUUGAAUAAUUUUCUAGAGAUUUUCUAUCCCUGCCUUUGCUACAGAGCUCUAUGCGUUGCUGGGCUGAUUACUUAAAUUAUGUAAUCACUGUUUUCAUGUUUGUGAAGUAAGACUUGGGGGAACACUAGGCACUCAAAAGUAAAGCUGGUGUGAGAGCUGUGCUUUGAAUCUGUGAUGUCCUAUAUUAUGUCAAAUACUUUGAAAAAAUCAAGCUUUUGGCAACUCAAAUUAGUAUUUAUUUUUCCCCCUUAUUUCCCUCAGUUCAUGGUCUGUAAAAUGGGAGUAAAAAUGCUGUCUGCAAUCUCCUAGCCUGAGAGGAAAAAACAAUUAGUGAAGCGUUCUGAUACAACGAUGAAUGCCUGUAAGGAAAUACGGGAUUCUUGUUUUGAUACUAGAAUUUUAAUAGCAUGUAACAAAUGAAGUCUUGGGUUAUGCCUUGAGUAACAGGGAGAAAACAAAAUGGUAUGUUUCUGUUAACUGAAUUUAGUGCUGCCUGCACUGAAAAAGGUAGAGGUCAUGUGGAAGAGCAGUAUGUGAUCGUGUUAUCAGAGAUUGUAUAUUGAAGUCUGAUAAAUAUAUAUGCAUCUGGAGGCAAAUCAAAGUUGUACAGAUACUUAGACCUAUUCUUUUCCCCAAAUCAGUGUAAGUAAUCCACUAAUAUGUUAAAUAAUUUCUCCUCCAAAGCUACAUGAAUGCUUAUUGAUCAGAAAAACAAUACGAAGAACAUCAUGAGCUAUUUUGUAUGUCCAUUUCUGCUUACUCCCUUCCAUGCUGGUUGCCAUAUUCAUAUCCUAAAUCCUUUACAAUGUUACUCUUGAAGGAACAGUGCAACUAGUUCAUUGUUCAUAUGUCAGUUUGCAUAUGCAGGUGACGCAAUGCCGUACAUUCGAGCAGCAGAAAAAUCUGUUCUGUAACCAGAAAAAGUAGCAAUUAAUGAGAUGGGAAUAGGAGGAGAUACGAACAGCAGGCUUUCCCUAUGACCUUUCCUGUAUGUACUUGGUUUUUAAUACUGCUCUGUAGCUAAGAUAGCCCCUGGUUGUUGUCUUCCUGGUUAAUUCUGCCUCCUGAGUGUUCAGCAGUAUGUCAACAUGCAAUUGAAAGCUCAUUGACUUUGAAAAUGAAUUUAAAGGUGGGGAGACUUGAUUUGAAAAAAUAAGUAACUGAACAGCAAGCUUUUAGAAAUCUCGUUUCCUCAGCAGCUGUGUUGCUCUCCAGGCUGUCUUACAGCUGAAAGAGGGAAAAUAUGAAACAGCAGCGACCGACGUAAACUUUCACCAGAGGCAAGCAUGUGCAAGUGCUGGGAGAUGCUGCAGAGGGAGAACAUGGACAGGAGAUGUUGCCUUCUGGAAGUUUGCUCUGCCGUAUUAUGGCAUAUAUACUUCUGCAUAACCCCUCAAUUCUACCACUUUUAUCUAAUAGCAGUCUGCUCCGGUAUAAACCAACACAUUUUGCAAAUACUUCUGGAUUGUACCAUGCUGUUUAAAAGGAAAUACAGAUGUUAAAGAACAGGGAGGAAAUGAAAAGAGGAAGAGCGUCUGGAGACUGGAGUCUGCGUUGGAGCUCUGUUUGUUGGUUGAUUUAGGACUUCUGGGCCUUUGCAGUCAGAUCUGGCUUUUGUGCUUUUGAGGUGGUGCCCCCAGGUUUUCCCCAGAGUAUCUGCCUUUUCUCUGGGCAUAGUAGAAUACACAGUGCGAGUUUGAGGAUUUGGAGAAAGAUAGUUCAAUUUCUUUGUCACCAACUCCAAUUCUAACAUUCACAGCCAUGCAUUUUAGAUCCCUUUCAGUUCCUGUCAACCUCCUGGUAAUACCGGGGACCAGGGACAGCUGUCUGCAUUUAGAAAAGUUUGGCAAAGGACAAUCAUCCAAAGAAAAGGGCGUCUGGGACUUUGUCUACUAAAAGGUUUUGUGUUUUAGUCAUUUCUUUGAGUUCAGGUAGAAUUGGUAUCAAAACCUGCUCCUUUUAUUGAUUUAAUAGAAAUGUUCGAGAGCAUCUGUAAAACAAACUGUUUUACUACCUGUGGUGAUGAUAAAUAUUUUAUUUUCUGCAGAAGUGAAUUUGUGUUUUAACAAUACUCUUAGUUGUAGCUGUCUGCACGUUUCUGUUUCAUUGUAUAUGUUUAUGGAGUUCACGUAUGCUUUAUCUGUACAACUGAACAGGCUUUGCAGCAAAUUAUUGUCUUUAUUCCACUUCUCUCAGAUGCAGAAAUACAGAGUUCACAGGCAGUUUUAUGUUGGAAAUGAAGUAGCGCAAUGUUGUCAUAAUUUCUUGAUAUUUGGCAUGGAUGUUGUUUCCUUAAUAUUCCAGUAUCCCUGUACUUGCCCUCCCACAAUUUCUUCUUGUACUCAGUGCAAUAUUAGAAUUAACGAACUCCAAGGCUUAAAUACAUAGUAACCCUCUUUUCUAAUCUACGUUUUACUAUUUAAAGAAACAUUUUUAAAUUUUGCACCAUUCCUUUGAUUUUGUUAGCACAUAGUCCUGGAAAUACUAUAUGAGUUAUCUUUUACUAUCAGAGAUGGACUUUUAAGUCUCCUAUUAAGUAAUAUAGGUGUUGUCUUUAUUUAAUGAAGAAAUUUUUUCCUUUCCUUGAGCUUCGGUGCUGUGUAUUGUAUGCUGUCUAGAUCUAGUCAAACUGAAGACCGGUAUAAAAAGAGAGAUGGUGGAGAUCAGCCUUAAGGUCAGUUCUUUGUUGUCUUUGGAAUUUGACACGAAUAGUUUGAAGGAAAAGAUACAAUCAGUUUGAUGGGAAGGUGCACAAAUUUUUUUCCCCAAACUUUUUUCCAGUUUAUAUUUAAAGCGAUCAAAAAGUCUCAUUAGCAUAAACUGUAAAGACAGAAGUUCCUUUUCCUUUUUUGGUGUGGUGAUUUCUUCCAUUUUGCUCUGUUAGAGGGAUAUUUUAUUCUG